AACUAAAUGAAGCAAGAAGACUCAAACGCUGGAUUCAAGUACUAUCAAGAGAGGAAGAAACUGCUUGAGGUGGUAGCUAUGAGGAGUACUUUGCAGUACUUUAUAGCUGACUUUCUAGCGAUUUGAAAUGGAAACCAGUCUGAGGGCAAGAUGGCGGCGCAGGGAGGACUCUCAUUCUGAACAGCAGCACAGCAGGACAGGCACAGUGACCAGCAAGCAGAACUUGCGGCCAUAAAACACAAGUGAUUGUGUUUCUCAGGUGAGAGGAUACCCCACGGUGGGGAAUUCAAUCAGCUUUGACUCACCUGGCUAAACCACGGAAGAGACCCUGGUUCCGCCAGGUGCUU